rnacentral:rRNA from 1 species
CUGAUAUGAAGAGCUUGCUCGGAUUUGAAGAUGAACAUUGCAAAGAGUGGCGAACGGGUGAGUAACACGUGGGAAACCUACCUCUUAGCGGGGGAUAACACUUGGAAACAAGUGCUAAUACCGCAUAAUACUGAUAACCGCAUGGUUAUCAGUUGAAAGAUGGUUCUGCUAUCACUAAGAGAUGGUCCCGCGGUGUAUUAGCUAGUUGGUAAGGUAAUGGCUUACCAAGGCAAUGAUACAUAGCCGAGUUGAGAGACUGAUCGGCCACAAUGGGACUGAGACACGGCCCAUACUCCUACGGGAGGCAGCAGUAGGGAAUCUUCCACAAUGGACGAAAGUCUGAUGGAGCAACGCCGCGUGUGUGAUGAAGGGUUUCGGCUCGUAAAACACUGUUGUAAGAGAAGAAUGACAUUGAGAGUAACUGUUCAGUGUGUGACGGUAUCUUACCAGAAAGGAACGGCUAAAUACGUGCCAGCAGCCGCGGUAAUACGUAUGUUCCAAGCGUUAUCCGGAUUUAUUGGGCGUAAAGCGAGCGCAGACGGUUGUUUAAGUCUGAAGUGAAAGCCCACAGCUUAACUGUGGAAGUGCUUUGGAAACUGGAUAACUUGAGUGCAGUAGAGGAGAGUGGAACUCCAUGGG